rnacentral:rRNA from 1 species
CCUACGGGCGGCAGCAGUGGGGAAUAUUGCACAAUGGGGGAAACCCUGAUGCAGCAACGCCGCGUGAGUGAUGACGGCCUUCGGGUUGUAAAGCUCUGUCUUCAGGGACGAUAAUGACGGUACCUGAGGAGGAAGCCACGGCUAACUACGUGCCAGCAGCCGCGGUCAUACGUAGGUGGCGAGCGUUGUCCGGAUUUACUGGGCGGAAAGGGAGCGUAGGCGGACUUUUAAGUGAGAUGUGAAAUACUCGGGCUCAACUUGAGUGCUGCAUUUCAAACUGUAAGUCUAGCGUGCAGGAGAGGAGAAUGGAAUUCCUAGUGUAGCGGUGAAAUGCGUAGAGAUUAGGAAGAACACCAGUGGCGAAGGCGAUUCUCUGGACUGUAACUAACGCUGAGGCUCGAAAGCGUGGGGAGCAAACAGGAGUAGAUACCCUGGUAGUC